UAAAAUUUAAGAAUGACAAAACUACAUUAUGUUUGAAACAUCAGAUAUGUUUGAUAAACAAUGAGAGUGAUACUUAUUUUCCUACUUGUGACUCGCGUGUCAGCGGACUUUCCUUGCAUGUGUUGCCAGCUACAGGUGGAUGUAUACUCUGGGCCGUCGACUGAGGGAGUAGUAUUAGGAAGGCUUUGCGACAAUGGGAUCGAUCUGGAAUGCAAAACAUUGGUGAAUGCAACUGUAAACCAAUGGACUGCUAUUUUAUAUCAACACCAGGUGGCCUAUAUUCAAGACCAGGCGGGUGUAAAGCAA